GACGAACGCUGGCGGCGUGCUUAACACAUGCAAGUCGAACGGAAAGGCCCCUUUGGGGGUACUCGAGUGGCGCACGGGUGAGUAACACGUGAGUAACCUGCCCUUGACUUCGGGGUAACUUCAGGAAACUGGGGCUAAUACCGGAUAGGAAUCCUUGCUGCAUGGUGGGGGUUGGAAAGCUUCGGCGGUUUUGGAUGGACUCGCGGCUUAUCAGCUUGUUGGUGGGGUAGUGGCUUACCAAGGCUUUGACGGGUAGCCGGCCUGAGAGGGCGACCGGCCACAUUGGGACUGAGAUACGGCCCAGACUCCUACGGGAGGCAGCAGUGGGGAAUAUUGCACAAUGGGCGGAAGCCUGAUGCAGCAACGCCGCGUGCGGGAUGACGGCCUUCGGGUUGUAAACCGCUUUCAGCAGGGGCGAAGCUUGUGGUGACGGUACCUGCAGAAGAAGCACCGGCUAACUACGU
rnacentral:rRNA from 1 species